CAUUGGGGCCGUCACCCUAUUCAUCAAAUAUAUCAGAAUUGUUGCCUAGCAACUUAUUUCAAGAAGGGGGAGGAGAAUAUUUAUUAAAAAAAUAAAGAAACCUACGAAGUAAAACUAAAAUACAAGCCAAGAAGGGAAACAGAGGCAUCCGAGGGAGUGGGAAUGGAGAGAAGCCUAUCCCUGAUAGCUCGAUCCACAAGAAGGAAGAAACCUGGUUCUGACAGAUACUCAUUUCGGAAGAUCAUAGCAUUUCGCUCCUUCCAAGUGUUGUAGACCAUUACCUGGAGUAUAAGCUUCAGAACGGAGCAGGAAGCGGACUGAGAGGCCUGACUUCGCUGUUGAAUGAUGGUGAUGGCUGUGUUUAUGUCGCAAGGAGGUGCAGUAAGGAGGCGUCCACAGAAUCUGAGCCACACGGACAAUGGAAGAACAGAUGCUGAUGUGAUUCGGUUGCAGCAUCGCAUAAAACACAAGCAUCUGGCACUUGCAUUCCCCAAGAGAUGAGCCUAUCCUUAGUUGGAAGUCUUUGGUUAAUCGCCAGCCACAUGAUGAAGGAACAUCUUGGGAUCUGCUCCUUAAACCAGACCGCAUUUGAUAUAUCUAUGGAUGGAGGCAGAAGCUGGGUGGAAGGCUUCUAGAACACAGAAACCAGGAAAGCAUUACGUACAUCUCUGAACACAACUCCAGUGCUGUUUGAAGCCACCAUUGAUGUCUCCCAGGUCAUCGCCAAAGCGGUGGAUUCGGCGGCCAUUGUUCAGCCGGAAAACGUAGAGUCAGUGUGGAACCUAAGAAGGGUGCUCAACACUUCGUGGCACCGUGUCCUGCUCCAUCUAGGCCACACUCUUAACUUGUAGACCAAGUUACCACCGCUUUGUAUGUCCUUUUUCGACCUUGUUUUUUCGCUUUCAAAAAAAAAACACUCCUUUUAUUAAAAAAAAAUGUAUCCACCUGUGAUUACUCUUUUAGCUUUUGGUCGUCGUUUGGUGCAUUAUUUUUGUAUACCACUGUUUUACAGAUUUUGAUGCAUUAUUAUUAUUGUUAUAAUAAAUGUGCAUGGAAUCAUAUGGUUGAGCACAUUUAUCUAUAGUGUAUGCUCCUUGAUUA